CAGGUGACAGAGAAGGAGUGGCGCGGAUGCAGACGCACCCUACGCUGAGACGCCAGACAAGGAAUGUUUCAUGACGUUAAGAAACCUGAACUUAACAACACCUUGGAAAGUUCCACAGGCAGUCCGACUCCAGAGGCUCUGUAAGAUAUGUUACAUUAUAAAAUUACGUGAAAUAAAUAUGGAUCUGAUUCCUUUGAGUCCAAUCAAGGAAUUGAAAAAAAGAAAAAAAAGCAGGAAUGAAUCCAAAGGAAUUAUGUCAUCUGAUGUGGGAUACAGGAGCCCAUUACUGAUUAAAGUUGGAGAAUUUCCAAGUGAUAUUAGGAACUUAUCUUUCAUGGAAUUGAUUAUGAAAAUCAAGAAUCCUCAUCCCAAAAAAUUUGGAUGCAGGGAUCAAUAAAGAUUUUCAAGACUAGGAUUGAUAUGAGUUGUUUGACAGAAUGGCACUAAAGUGUAUAAAUUAAAUGUGGUAAGUGUUAAUUAUCUUCAGAUCAAACACAACCUGAUUGAAGGCUCAAAUGGCUGAAUUCCUCUUCCUAUUCUUCUGUUCUUAACCUGCUAAUGAAUUUAGCCAUUCCAUAUAACCAUAUAACCAUAUAACAAUCACAGCACGGAAACAGGCCAUCUUGGCCCUCCUAGUCCGUGCCAAAUCCUUAAUCUCACCUAGUCCCACCUACCCGCACUCAGCCCAUAACCCUCCACUCCUUUCCUGUCCAUAUACCUAUCCAAUUUUACCUUAAAUGACACAACUGAACUGGCCUCUAUUACUUCUACAGGAAGCUCAUUCCACACAGCUAUCACUCUUUGAGUAAAGAAAUACCCCCUCGUGUUUCCCUUAAACUUCUGCCCCCUAACUCUCAAAUCAUGUCCUCUCGUUUGAAUCUCCCCUACUCUCAAUGGAAACAGCCUAUUCACGUCAACUCUAUCUAUCCCUCUCAAAAUUUUAAAUACCUCGAACAAAUCCCCCCUCAACCUUCUACGCUCCAAUGAAUAGAGACCUAACUUGUUCUUUCCCUUGUUUCUAGUUUCUCCAUUGCCAUUGUCCAGUCUCCAUCUCCAUUGUUAACAUUCUCCAGUCUGUUAAGUGCAUUCCACCAAUUCUGGGCUCAGGAACAUCAGCAGAUGCUAUCGUACCAGCUUUGUCAAGGCCUAUCCUUCAAAAUCCAGGAUCCAGCACCCUCUUUGACAUUUUACCAUCAGGCCGGAGACUCUGAUACAUAAAGACAAGAACGGUCAGGAUGCGAAACAACUUCUUCCCUCAGGUCUUUAUGCUUCAAAACUUCCUGCCGCAUUGCAUUCGAAAUGUCGCUGGAUAAUUUGUACUGCCCCUACAAUAUUUAAUUUAUGCACUUUACUUUGUUUAUCUUUGUGUAAUUUAUUUGUAGAUUUAAUUCUUACUUUCCUAAGUUAUUGUGUGCUUUAUGUGUGUUAUGUGUACUACUGUGUUUUACACCCUGGUCUGGAGAAACGUUGCCUCGUUUGACAGUAUACACGUAAAUAAUUAAAUGACAAGGGACUUGUCUUGAACCUGAACAUGAAGUUUCGCUUCUUCCCAAUUAUAAAAAAUAAUAGUUAAUCAUUUAGGUGCUUGCUGUCUAUUUUUUAUUAUAGUUCAGUGAAAUAUAUUGGCAUAUAUUACUUUGUUAAGGGUUCCAAAAUUACAAACUGUUGUUAAAAGGACACUUACACAUGCUGGAAUGACCAGGGUUCAUCCCCGAAGACCAUGCCAGGGGUCUAUGGAUGCACAAGUUCACCAUUUACAUCCAAAAUGAAUAUUGGUGCUUACAGACCAACCUCUGAUAUCACAGCUUGCAGAGUUAGAUAACAGAAGUAACAAAGGUUCCUGUUUAUCUAAGACCAUUUGUUAAAGCUUAAUAUUCUCAGCUAAUUUGCUUCCUUCCUUUUAAUCACCUUAUCAAUUUAUUCAAUGUAAAUGAACACAUUAUUACACAGUAAUCAAAGGAGACAAGGGAAAUUAAUCACUGUACUGCUCGGAGCCACAGACCAGAUAUUGUGCUCAAAGCUGUGUGACUGCAAGACUUUCAGCUCAUCAGGGUGAAGGAUGUCGGAUCUGGUCUUCAAAUGUUCCAUGCCUCAUUGUCAAGGACAGGUCGGAGAACGAGUUAGUUACACAAUCAAGCUUCCUCCAUGUUGUCCCAGCCAACACUCUCAAAACAUUUGAAACCAUUUAGUUCUUUUUUUAGCUAUCAAUUCUCCACACAGUUUUGUGUAAUGUGAAAUUUUAUUAAGGUGAAUUAUAUUUUACUAUGAAAUCCAAGUGCUUAUUAAAGUGCAGAAAGGCUUGAUGCUUAUCAGAUACAGAAUGUUACGGCCUUCCUUGAAAGGCUUCUGCGGGGAGCUGCCACAUUAAAAGGAACGCGUGUAUUUUUGGAAUGUAAAC